rnacentral:lncRNA from 1 species
CCCGGUUUAGAACGAUCCCUACUUACAUCUUUGCUACAAUUUGACAAAAAGAGGGUUUAAUUUGUGUGCUUAAUAUACUUCGCAUCAUUUUGCAUCCUUCCAUAAACUGUGAAACACAGAAGUAAGGUUAGUUAAUUGAGAUUGCAAAUUAGAAACAGAACUUAUCUCAUUUACUUGCUGCCGUAGGAGGUCUUUCUGCCCAACUCCUUCAUAUUGUUGAGCAUUUAGCGCUCGGUUAACAAUCAAAGUCUUGGCUACCACGGGUGUCUUAUCAACCAAUGCACCUCCCGUUGAGGCAUCUAACAUUUGGCGUUCAAUGGGAAGAAGUCCUUCGUAAAAGUAUUGAAUGAGAAAUUCUUCCUUAAUUUGGUGUUGAGGAUAUGAAGCAACAAGACCUUUAAAACGUUCAUAUUACGCAGGGAAAGAUUCUCCUUGAUUUUCCUGAAUACCACUAAUCCUUUUGCGUAGAAGAAUGACUCCAGAAGUUGGGAAAAACUCUUCCAAGAACGCCCGUUUAAUGCUUUCCCAAGAUGUGACAGUUCAGGGAGCUAAUUCAUAUAACCAAUCCUUGGCCUUUUCCAUGAGAGAAAAAGGAAAAGCCUUCAUUUUCAAAAUGUUCCCAUCAACAUUCAUAGGGGUCAUGCUUGAACAAACAACCUCAAACUCCUUCAAAUGUUUAUUAGGAUCUUCCAUGGACAACCCAUGAAACUUAGGAAUAUGGUGCAAUAGGCUAGACUUUAAUUCAAACUUGCCGGUCUUGUCAUGGGCCGCCCUUGGAUAUUGAAUGCAUAAGGGCACGGCAUUAUCCAAUCCCAAGGCCGAGAGUUCCUUGAUUGUUCGGUUAUCGACCACCAUGAUUGGUUGUUCCAUGAUGUGAAAAUUAUGUUGACACACAAAUUAAACCCUCUUGUUGACAAAUGUAGUAUGGAUAAGUAGGGAUCGUUCUUAAACCGGGGAUUAGGAGGGAUUGCUAAAACACUCUAAACUGACUCAAAUCUGUAAAACAAAGUUUAAAAUACUAAACUAGACUCAAAGAAUGCAAAACUAAAAUCUAAAAUACUAAAACAAACCAAAAGACUCAAAACAGCAAACAAACACUCAAAAUUGCCUAAAAACCACUUUCUGGGCAGUUUUGGGACUCUAACACAACUUGGACGAAUUUUGGUUUCCUAAUGACCUAAAACACCUAAAAACAUAUUCUAAGACAAGUUCUAAGUAAUAUGACUUAAAGGAAUAAGGUGGGAUUGAUUUUGGACGAAAAUAAUUAAAUGGGCAGAUUGAAAAAGAAAACAGAUUGUAAGACAAAAUUGUGAUGAAUCAAUGGAU